rnacentral:rRNA from 1 species
UACGAAGGGGGCUAGCGUUGCUCGGAAUCACUGGGCGUAAAGCGCACGUAGGCGGAUUGUUAAGUCAGGGGUGAAAUCCUGGAGCUCAACUCCAGAACUGCCUUUGAUACUGACGGUCUUGAGUUCGGGAGAGGUGAGUGGAACUGCGAGUGUAGAGGUGAAAUUCGUAGAUAUUCGCAAGAACACCAGUGGCGAAGGCGGCUCACUGGCCCGAUACUGACGCUGAGGUGCGAAAGCGUGGGGAGCAAACAGGGAUUAA